UUUAACUGAAGAGUUUGAUCAUGGCUCAGAUUGAACGCUGGCGGCAGGCUUAACACAUGCAAGUCGAGCGGGGAAGGGUAGCUUGCUACCUGACCUAGCGGCGGACGGGUGAGUAAUGCUUAGGAAUCUGCCUAUUAGUGGGGGACAACAUCUCGAAAGGGAUGCUAAUACCGCAUACGUCCUACGGGAGAAA
rnacentral:rRNA from 1 species